GACUGAGCUGGUGAAACCCACAGAGACAGCUGACCUGAACAAGGACCACAUGAUUGCAGUAAGAUGAAAACCUGGCAUCUGUUUGUGACUGACUGGUCCAGCAUUUUCCUUGGACAAGGCACCAGGACUGGAUUCUUCAGGAUGUUAUCAUUAUCAAAUGUCUCACAGUAGAUGGACUUGCCACCAGUGUCAGUAUGGCCUGGGAAGUCAUUCCCCUGGCACGUGAGUCCUGGAGUCAUUAUGUGAAAGGAGGGAGCUUUCUAACCAAAUCCUUUCUUGCCAAUAUUCAGAGCAUAGACGGUU